rnacentral:tRNA from 1 species
GGAAAAGUGGCAGAGUGGUAAUGCAGUUGUCUUGAAAUCAACCGCCAAUGGCACAUAGGUUCAAAUCCUGUCUUUUCCU